rnacentral:rRNA from 1 species
GAUGAACGCUGGCGGCGUGCCUAACACAUGCAAGUCGAGCGAACAGACGAGGACUUUGCUCCUCUGACGUUAGAGGCGGAGGGGAGAGUCACACGUGGUUAAACUACCUCUCCGACUGGGAUACCUUCGGGAAAUCGGCGCUUAUACCGGAUAAUAUAUUGAACCGCAUGGUUCAAUAGUGAAAGUCGGUUUUGGUGUGACUUAUAGCCUGACCCGCGCCGCAUUAGCUAGUUGGUUAGGUAACGGCUUACCAAGGCCACGAUGCGUAGACGACCUGAGCGCGUGGUCGGCCACCCGGGAUGUGAGACACGGUCCAGACUCCUGCGCGAGGCAGCAGUAGGGAAUCUUCCGCAAUGGUGGAGAGCGUGACAGAGCAACGCCGCGUAAGUGAUGAAGCUCCUCUGAUGGGAAAGCUCUGUUAUUAGUGGAGAACUAAUGUGUAUGUAACUAGGCACAUCUUGACGGUACCUGGACAAAAAGCCACGGCUAACUACGUG